AAAAAGCUCUUCCAAAUGCCGAAAAAUAACACACUCUUCUCCCUAGCCGAAUUCCCAAUGUUGUAAUACCCCAAACGACACACACUCCCCCUCUCAUCAAAUUCAUUAAUUUUCUUUUUAGAAUAUUACUCCCCCUAUCCCUCCUUGAUUUUCUCCACCACUUCCUCCUCAACUUCCCUAACCACUUCAUUCAAAUUCCACAACAUUUCAGUCAAACUCCAC
rnacentral:lncRNA from 1 species